rnacentral:lncRNA from 1 species
CCAGUCACAGCAGAUGCCCGAAAUGGCCGCGCAAGCCAAGUCGCAGGGCCAACGUCUGUCCAAAGAAUCCCGGCCUUUAGACGUCCAUGGGGGCGUUGCCCAGAGGACCCGGGUCGGAGAGCGCCCCUUGUCAGCGCCUUAACGUCUCGACCAAGUGCUGGACUCGCUGACUGGAGUCGAGCAUCGCCUCUGGAGAUAUAUUGUCCAGCGUGUCCAGGUCGACUGCGGUGUGCAAGAUGGUUUACACGGCUGUAUCCUGCAGGUGGCGAUCUACCUCGUGUCACUAUGGCGACGAUGUUAUAAGGUCCACCUGGCCCCUGUAGCAGUGACGGGAAAUGUAUCCGCUGCCGCGCGCUCAUGUGAGGCCACGGGGGCCAGUUGCCAGCAACGGAGGCGGCA